UUGUCUCAAAGAUUAAGCCAUGCAUGUCUCAGUACAAGCCGAAUUAAGGUGAAACCGCGAAAGGCUCAUUAAAUCAGUUAUGGUUCCUUAGAUCGUACCCACAUUUACUUGGAUAACUGUGGUAAUUCUAGAGCUAAUACAUGCAAACAGAGCUCCGACCGGAGACGGAAGGAGCGCUUUUAUUAGAUCAAAACCAAUCGGUGGCGAUUUCGGUCGUCAUCGUACAACUUGGUGACUCUGAAUAACUUUACGCUGAUCGCACGGUCUUGCACCGGCGACGCAUCUUUCAAAUGUCUGCCUUAUCAACUUUCGAUGGUAGGUUCUGCGCCUACCAUGGUUGUAACGGGUAACGGGGAAUCAGGGUUCGAUUCCGGAGAGGGAGCCUGAGAAACGGCUACCACAUCCAAGGAAGGCAGCAGGCGCGCAAAUUACCCACUCCCGGCACGGGGAGGUAGUGACGAAAAAUAACGAUACGGGACUCAUCCGAGGCCCCGUAAUCGGAAUGAGUACACUCUAAACCCUUUAACGAGGAUCAAUUGGAGGGCAAGUCUGGUGCCAGCAGCCGCGGUAAUUCCAGCUCCAAUAGCGUAUAUUAAAGUUGUUGCGGUUAAAAAGCUCGUAGUCGAAUCUGUGUCCCGCGCCGCCGGUUCAUCGUUCGCGGUGUCAACUGGCGUGCCGCGGGACGUCCUGCCGGUGGGCUUAGCUCGAGAGGGCGGCCCAACUCAAUCCCGCCGCGGUGCUCUUCAUUGAGUGUCGAGGUGGGCCGGCACGUUUACUUUGAACAAAUUAGAGUGCUUAAAGCAGGCUAAAACUUCGCCUGAAUACUGUGUGCAUGGAAUAAUGGAAUAGGACCUCGGUUCUAUUUUGUUGGUUUUCGGAACCCCGAGGUAAUGAUUAAUAGGAACGGAUGGGGGCAUUCGUAUUGCGACGUUAGAGGUGAAAUUCUUGGGAUCGUCGCAAGACGGACAG
rnacentral:rRNA from 1 species